UACGGAGGGUGCGAGCGUUGUCCGGAAUCAUUGGGCGUAAAGGGCGCGUAGGUGGCCCGGUCAGUUCGUGGUGAAAGCGCGGGGCUCAACUCCGCGUCGGCCAUGAAUACUGCUGGGCUGGAGCACUGUAGAGGCAGGCGGAAUUCCGGGUGUAGCGGUGGAAUGCGUAGAGAUCCGGAAGAACACCGGUGGCGAAGGCGGCCUGCUGGGCAGUGGCUGACACUGAGGCGCGACAGCGUGGGGAGCAAACAGG
rnacentral:rRNA from 1 species